rnacentral:rRNA from 1 species
UACGGAGGGUGCAAGCGUUGUUCGGAAUUACUGGGCGUAAAGGGCGCGUAGGCGGCUUGGUAAGUCAGAUGUGAAAGCCCACGGCUUAACUGUGGAAGUGCAUUUGAAACUGCCAGGCUUGAGUACCAGAGGGGAAAGUGGAAUUCCCGGUGUAGAGGUGAAAUUCGUAGAUAUCGGGAGGAAUACCGGUGGCGAAGGCGACUUUCUGGCUGGAUACUGACGCUGAGGCGCGAAAGCGUGGGGAG